CAAGAGUGACUGGUCUUCGGACUGGCUACCCGUCCUGUGUCAUGUGUUGAGGGGGACCCGAGGGCUGCGAAGCCUGAGGGCUCCUGGAGAUGAACUUCCCGGGAAGUGUUGUGGCGUGUUCUGCAGGUUCCGAAAGAUUGGGGCUUGCAGAGAACGGAUGCGACCGCCCGGGGUAUUUUUUUUACCAACUCUUGUUAGCAAGUUGAAGUCUGAACUACAAAGAUAUAAAAAAAAGCA
rnacentral:misc_RNA from 1 species